rnacentral:rRNA from 1 species
UAGGGAAUCUUCCACAAUGGACGAAAGUCUGAUGGAGCAACGCCGCGUGAGUGAAGAAGGUUCUCGGAUCGUAAAGCUCUGUUGUGAGGGAAGAACAAGUACGGGAGUAACUGUCCGUACCUUGACGGUACCUCAUUAGAAAGCCACGGCUAACUACGUGCCAGCAGCCGCGGUAAUACGUAGGUGGCAAGCGUUGUCCGGAAUUAUUGGGCGUAAAGCGCGCGCAGGCGGUCCUUUAAGUCUGAUGUGAAAGCCCACGGCUCAACCGUGGAAGGUCAUUGGAAACUGGGGGACUUGAGUACAGAAGAGGAAAGCGGAAUUCCACGUGUAGCGGUGAAAUGCGUAGAGAUGUGGAGGAACACCAGUGGCGAAGGCGGCUUUCUGGUCUGUAACUGACGCUGAGGCGCGAAAGCGUGGGGAGCAAACA